AACGCACAUUGCGCCCGCCAGUAUUCUGGCGGGCAUGCCUGUUCGAGCGUCAUUUCAACCAUCAAGCCCCAGGCUUGUGUUGGGGACCUGCAGCUGCUGCAGCCCCCUAAAAGCAGUGGCGGACUCGCUGUCAUUCCGAGCGCAGUAGUUACAUCUCGCUUUGGGCGUGGCGGCGGGCACCUGCCGUGAAACACUCUUUCUAAGGUUGACCUCGGAUCAGGUAGGAAUACCCGCUGAACUUAA
rnacentral:misc_RNA from 1 species